GUAUACUUGCCACAUUGUUCAUUGAGCAAGAGCAAAGAAAAUGGACAUACAGUGCAUCGCGGACAAGUUCACAGAGCUUAAGGCUUGUCCAGACUGUGGUGGAGAGCAGCGGGCUAAGCAGCGACACACAGCAGCUAUUGUUAGGCAGCCGAGACCCAGCAUCUCAUUACACUGACUCAUCAUGGGCCUUCUCCUCAUGGUACGUCUCCUCCUCAUGAUACCACUCCUCCUGAUAGACCAGCAUUCAUUCCUCCAGGAACCAGACCUCCUUCUCCUGAUAUACACCCUCCAUCUGAUAGACAGAUUGGAGUGACCACAAACACCCCGUCAUUUUAACGCAACUCAACAGACUUUCAAACAGG